UCUGUGUUAAUUGAUGGAGACUGGUUUGUGUGCUGCAAGAACAAUCAGACAACAGAGCAGAUAGAACUAGCCUGCAAAGCCAAGGACAACAUCACAUCUCAUGACCAAGAUAUUAUCACUGAGCUCAAAGGCAAAUCACUGGUGUGGGGUGUAUCUGUCAUCUUAGUUAUCUGCGGUUUGGGGGCUUUUGGUAGAGGCAUUUACUCCUGUCUGUCAUCAUGCAGUGAAUGUUCUCAAAAACUGAAGAACUGCUGCAGUGGAUGCUGUCACACACAUCAUGAGGUUAAUGAGCUGAUUCUGGAGGAGUGGGAAAAUCAACUGAGGGACCGUGUGAAAGAAGCAACAGGCAGGACGCUGACCAACAAACUCAGAGAGGACUGGGAAGAAGAAGGG